UUUGUAGAAGGUGCUUCGGGCGCGAAUACGACCCAUGUCCCUUGGAACAGGGCGUCAUAGAGGGUGAGAAUCCCGUAUGCGGUCGAUAAUCAAGUCCGUGCGAAGCCCUUUCGACGAGUCGAGUUGUUUGGGAAUGCAGCUCUAAAUGGGUGGUAAAUUUCAUCUAAAGCUAAAUACCUGCCGGAGACCGAUAGCGCACAAGUAGAGUGAUCGAAAGAUGAAAAGCACUUUGAAAAGAGAGUCAAACAGUACGUGAAAUUGUUGAAAGGGAAGCGCUUGCAACCAGACUCGCUCGCGGGUGCUCAAUCGUCCCUCGGGGCGGUGCAUUCUCCCGCGAUCGGGCCAGCAUCGGUUUCGGCGGCCGGAUAAAGGCCCCAGGAACGUAGCUUCCUUCGGGGAGUGUUAUAGCCUGGGGUGCAAUGCGGUCAGUCGGGACCGAGGAUCGCGCAUCUGCUAGGAUGCUGGCGUAAUGGUUGCCAGCGACCCGUCUUGAAACACGGACCAAGGAGUCGACCAACCGUGCGAGUGUUUGGGCGUUAAACCCAGGCGCGCAAUGAAAGUGAACGGAGGUGGGAGCCUUCGGGUGCACCAUCGACCGAUCCUGAUGUCUUCGGAUGGAUUUGAGUAUGAGCUCGGCUGGUCGGACCCGAAAGAUGGUGAACUAUGCGUGAAUAGGGUGAAGCCAGAGGAAACUCUGGUGGAGGCUCGCAGCGGUUCUGACGUGCAAAUCGAUCGUCAAAUUUGCGCAUAGGGGCGAAAGACUAAUCGAACCAUCUAGUAGCUGGUUCCUGUCGAAGUUUCCCUCAGGAUAGCAGCAACGGAAACAGUCUCAUGAGGUAGAGCGAACGAUUAGAGGCCUUGGGGUUGAAACAACCUUAACCUAUUCUCGAACUUCGAAUAUGUGAGAAGUCCUUGUUACUUAGUUGAA
rnacentral:rRNA from 1 species